GACAGCCCACAAAGUUCCACCUGCUCACAGGUUGGCUGGCUCGACCAAGGUGGUAGCCCCUGCUCUGAGCAUCCAGGCCGAAUCCACCUAUCACCAUGGCCAGAUACAGAUGUUGCCGCAGCCAAAGCCGGAGCAGAUGCCGCCCCCGGAGACGAAGAUGUCGCAGACGAAGGAGGCCAUGUUGUCGGAGGCGGCGGAGGAGAGUGUGCUGCCGCCGCUACACCAUCAUAAGGUGUAGAAGAAGGUAAACGCACAGCAGCAAGACCACCACACUCCUGCCUGAACUAUUACCAGCCUUCAAGACCCUCUUGCCACACCUUGAACAUGCCACCGUUCCGAUGAAAUGAACAGGAGCCUGCUAACGAACAACGCCGCCUGUCAAUAAAUGUUGGAA